UUUUUUUUUUUUUUUUUGCUUUUUAGGGCUGCAUAUGGAGGUUCCCAGGCUAGGGGUUGAAUCAGAGCUACAGCUGCCAGCCUACACCACAGCCACAGCAAUGUAGGAUCCAAGCCGCGUCUGCGACCUGCAUCACAGCUCGCAGCCACGCCGGAUCCUUAACCCAUUGAGCAAGGCCAAGGAUCGAACCUGCAACCUCACGGUUCCUAGUUAGAUUCGUUUCCACUGUGCCACGACGGGAACUACAAGCAGCAAAAUAAUUUCUUGAAAGGACCUCAGGUAACUUGCAGAAACCGAUCUUCAGUUACAGGGUAUUUAGUAUUUUGAAUUCUAAAGAAUUCAAACACAUGGCAGGAAAAAAUAUAUAUUUGUUCCAGAAAAUUGUAAACUUAUCUUCGCCCCUGCUUUCUCAAGAAGACAUAUAGGCAGGUAGCUGAGGGUUUCUGGUUUCCUGGGAACAAAGUCUUAGUCAGGGCGGAGGCCUUGCUACGCUAGAUCACAGCCUUACAGCCUGAGGACGAAGGGAAGCCCAGGGCUAACUCUGCAAAAAAAGGAGGUGGGGGUAGAGGAGACCCCGGAGAAGACAGAGGCUUGGGAUCACUUGAGGGGAGAGAGGGCUGUUUGCUGUAGCCCUCCUUCCAUCUCUAGAGAGAAAUCCUCAGUACAAUGCCCAUUUCUCACGGCAGCCUUGCGGCCCAGUUUUGCUUUGGGGUAAUUGAGGGAAGCACUGAGCCCUGCUCCUUGGUGAAGGGAGUGAGUGGAGGCGGUGAAAGGCUGACACACCUGCACUGUAUUUUCGGACCCUGCCUGGGCUUUGGAUGGGCCAUUCAAAUCUCGAGUGAAUCUGGGUUUCCAUCAUUACUCUAAAUAAAAAGCCAAACAUACAGCAUUGCACCUACAGUAAACCAAUGCACUUCAUUUUGUUAAGAGAGUAAGUCUCAUGUUGAAUGUUCCUACUGGCCUAAAAAAUUUAACAACCGAACAUGCCUCUCCCCACCCCAGUGCUGCAAAAGUGCCAGGGCAGAGGCUGAUUCAGCCCAAGGAAAGAUGACCCUGGGAUAUUACCUCAACACCAGAGGGAAGUUGUGACUGUGAGGUCAGCAUGCUGGCCUGAUCAAGAAUGGACUUUUCAGAAAGUGUAUUAGUCAGGAUCCUUUGGGUUGCAAAUCAUGGAAAUUCAUCUCUCACAUGUUAAUCAAAACAAACAAACAACACCCAAAAACGUAAAAGGGGAAGGUGGAAUUACUGGCUCACAUAAAUGUGAAAGGCAGGAGUAGCGCUAGCUUCAGGAACGGCUAGAUCCAGGCACACAAGUCAGGUUGCCAGGUGUUUAUCGCCAUCUCACCACUCUGUCCUUUUUUGUGUGGGCUUCUCUCCCAGUUUAUGUCCCUCCUGGAGGGGCAAGAUGGCCCCCCAAAGUACCAUCCCAAUAUCACCCCUGCUGGAAAGAGCUGACUUUCCCAACCGUUCUGAGGAAAGUAUCAGGAUUGAGUCUCAUGGAACUGGCUGGGUUAUUUCCCCAACCAUGGAGUUAGGAGAAUGGGGUGAGCCACACAGGAACUCCUUGAACUGAGAGCAUAGGCAGGAAAAAUCUCUUAAAGGAAGUCAAGGUAUUUCUGAUACCAGGAAUGGGAAAACAGCAGUCCGUGACAAAUGGAGACACGCAUCCUAUGAAGUGAGCUCAGGAGACAGAUAUAAAAACAACAACAACAAACUUCCUUGUGUCACCCCGGGCUGGAAAUUGGUGUUUAAUCCAGGCUUGAAGGACACAUGACUUACUAAGAAACGAGAGUGUCUCCAGGAAGGGGUGAGGCGGACUGGGGCAGAUACCCUUGGCUGAUUUGGGUCCCCACGCCUCCCCUUCUAGCCUUAGCUUCAGAGACAGGAUUUCCUGGAGCGGGAGCUGUCGCUGUAGAGCUGGCUACCAGACAAACUCUGAAACCUUGGUCAAGGCCACAUGCUGCCAGACAAGAGGGACGUUUGCAGGGACUGCAGCCCCAGGGACAAGAGAGGAGAAUGCUGAAUUGUGGUCAGAGCUUCAGUGCAUCGUUAGAGGAGGAUGGUCGGAGAGAGGGGGAAACGGAGCCACAGUUUAGAGGUUUUAGGCUCUGGCAGCAGGAACCAAACGCGGAUUCGAAGCUGCCCAUCGGGGCCUCCAUCUCUGCACGAGAAUGACCAGUGCUGCUUGAAGGCAUAGGCAGUGGAAAGGGAGGUGCCGGGAUUCCUCUGUCUCUGAGACAGAAGAGAGGAGAGAAGCGCUCCCCACACACAGUAGAACAGUAGAUAAAAGAGAUCUGUGCUGUGAGCCAUGAGCCGUAGGACGAGAUGUGCUUGAUCACAGCUUGGAGAAUCUGGCCCUGCGGGAGCAGAGAGAUAACCGUGGGUACAAGGGACACAGUCACAGUUUCCCCCGUCGCGCUGCCGCAAAGCAUUGGAAUGGCAGACAGCUUAUAAAUGUAUUAAAGCAAAAGGGCAUUUUCAGAGAGAGAGAACGCACAUGAGCACAGGUUAAAAAAGAGGGCCUGGGAGGUCCCAUCGUGGCGCAGCAGCAAAUGAACCCGACUAGCCAGGGAUCGAACCUGCAACCUCAUGGUUCCUAGUUGGGUUCUUAACCUGUUGAGCCAGGAUGGGAACUCCCAUGACCUUUCUUGUUCCAGGUCCUGGGAACUGCUUCUCAGCCCCUUUAGCCAUUCAGGCCUAGAGGUGGGGACAGCUCUGCUGCCAGCUCCACGUUAGUACACUUGAAGUCACCCUGUGCUUUGUAAUUAGGCCCUGUAUAAACAAACCGCCUGCCACUUUCAGGAGAUGGGGAGCUUGGCGCCGAGGCAGGAGGGGGUCUACCUUGUGCUACGGAGUAGGGGUGUCAGAGAUCUGGGGACCGGGUUUGUCUCUGAAGUGAGAGAGCGGAUCGGGCCUGAACAUGCCACCAGCUCUCCUGGGCUCUUUCAAUGCUAAUGCGUCCACAUUUCAAGCCACCACGGUUCCACAUCUCCCCUAGUUCUCUCUCUUCCCCAGCAAAGCUGAGUAUGUGUGGGAGGCAGAGGAAGCAGGGCCAAAUGGGGCAUCCAGGAGGCUCCCUCGAAGAGACUGGGGGCCUGUGGGGAGGGAAAGGGGCCUCUCCCCCUGGAUGCUCUCUGAGCUGGGACUCUGCAGGCUCAUCCUGGUGCUGCAGCUGGAAUCAAGUGUGGUGAGAAAGUGGGGCUGUGGGCAGGGGGGACCUACGAGACUGGGGCUGUUUGUGAACACAGAGAGUGGAUUAGAGAGUUCUAAAGACAGGCGGCUCAUGGAAGGGCCUACGUCAGCAAGCUUGUCAGGAUCAAGAUAUUGGGGGGCCUGGGAGGAACAUGGGGCACCCCUCCCAGUUCCUCAUACUUGCCAUGGCUCCAUAUGAAAGAGCGUGAGGUUGAGAGGAGGCACAGAGGGCCAGCCAGCAGCCACAAGGAGUAGGGUCCCCCAUUUGGGGGAGGGGCUGGGGACAGACCCAUGGUAGGGACAAAGGAAGGCCAGGCAGCCUCUGUCCGUGGAAGUCCUUGGCAAUGAGGGGCCAAGGGAGAGCUAAGUGACACCCAGAAAGUCACGGGUGUUCCCUCUGUGGACAUCACCACAUCACAGAGGCCACCAAGGGCAAACAGAACCGGAGCAAGGUCAGGGACAGGUCUCUGAAGCAGAAUGAAGCCGGGGGGGCAAGAGAGCUCACAGGCCUUCUCUCCACCCCCAGGAGUUAGUGAUGAGAAAAGAGAGCGGAGCAUGCCCCUGGCCUAUCACGGUCCCCAGCCACCAAGCCUCUCUAGUCACAUUCUAGCCUGGGUGGGGUAGAGGGUUGCUGUGAAUUGGGUAAGAGGUUGAAGUUUUUGCUUUGUUUUUUGUCUUUUUUUUUUUGCCUUUUCCAGGGCCAGCAUAUGGAGGUUCCCAGGCUAGGGGUCGAAUUGGAGCUGUAGCUACUGGCCUACACCAGAGCCACAGCAACACGGGAUCCAAGCUGAGUCUGCAACCACAGCUCACGGCAACGCCGGAUCGUUAACCCACUGAGCAAGGGCAGGGACCGAACCCGCAACCUCAUGGUUCCUAGUUGGAUUCGUUAACCACUGCGCCACAACGGGAACUCCGAGAUUGAAGUUUUAAACUGGACGGGUCUAGGUUUAAAUAACUGAAUGAGGAGUUCUCAUUGUGGUUUGGUGGGUUAAGAACCCAGCUAGUAUCCAUGAGGAUGUGGGUUUGAUCCCUGGCCGUGCUCAGUGGGUGAAUGACCCAGUGUUGCUGUGGCUGUGGUGUAGGCCGGCAGCUGCAGCUUUGAUUCACCCCAUGGCCCGGAAACUUCCAUGUGCUGCAGAUGUGGCCCUAAAAGAAAAGACCAGAAGGUUAUUAAAACUGCCUGUGGUGUUAAAAAAGAGGAAAGAGGAAAGGGAAUGAUGAGGAAGAUUAAAAAGACCCAGAAUUUCUUCAUGCAACUACCUCAACAGGUUGAACCAAACUCCUCAGCAACCAGGUGUGCUAAGAAAAUGACCACUGGCCUCCCAUCUCCAUAGUGAGGCAUCCCUCCCACCUGAGCCGAAGAGGGCACCUGGGGACCAGAGCACCUGCCAAAGAGCCUGAGCUUCACCUUGACUGGGCCGCCUUGGCUGACAAGCCUCUCUUGAACCCAUCCCUGGACCGAAGAGGUGGCAGGUACUGAUUGUUCGAGCUCAGGUCAUAUUUCUACCCCUGGAGGUGGCCUCCCUGGGACCACAGCAUUCCCAGAAGGGAGGUGGGAACUGCAGGGAAGAAGGAAGGAAGGAUGAAUUGGGGGAAAUUUCGCGUUGGGGAAACUUUUGGCAUAAAGUUUCUGUCCCAGGAAGAGAGUGGAACCAAAACAAAAACGUACAGGAGUUUUAUAAUUCCCAGAAUAACAGCCAUUGACACGCUUAAAGAUGACACUAACGGGGGGGUUGGAGCAGCAGGGCAGAGUUAAAUAUCCCGGCAGUAAGGAAAAGGAGGCCCUGUUCCCCGGUGGCCCAGUGAAGGACUCAGCAUUGUCACCGCUGUGGCUGCUGUGGCUCAGUACAGGAACUUGCGCAGGCCGUGGGUGCAGCCAAAACAAACAAACGAGAAAGAUUUUUAAAAAGAAAGAACGAAACAGGCGGCCAGGAGAGCUCUGAGCUGAGGGCGAGCUCCUGGGGGCUGGGAGGGGCCUCUGGAUGAAGGGAGGGCAGGAAGGGGAGCUUCGGGACUAAAGGCACGUCUGAAGGGGAUUUUCCGAAGUGAAAUGGUGAAAGUGAAAGUGAAGGAAGCCAAGAGCAGAGCCCUCGCCCCCGUUUUCCCGUGUGAAAUCAGCAGUUACAGGGUCAGUCUCUUCGGCUGUGGGCAUGACGACUGAAUGCAAGGUGGCAGCCAGGACUGGGUCCUGGGACAAAAGUGGGACAUGGCUGCAAACGCUGGUGAAGUCCACUUACAGCCUCGAGUGUAGUUCAUAGCCACUGUUGGAGGUUCCCCCCGGCCAAAAAAGAGAGAGAGAGACAAAAAAUAGUAAUUAAUGUCAAUUUCUUUGUUGUGAC
rnacentral:lncRNA from 1 species